rnacentral:lncRNA from 10 species
CCGGCCCUACUAUUUUAUUGUACUCAUGAUCCAGAGGGUUGGAGUUUGGGCAGGGCAGAGCAGGAAUGGCUUGUCUUUGCUUCCCAGUGUUGGAGGUCUCAGCUGGGUUGGCUCAAAUGGCUGGAGAUGGCAAGAACAUAUGACAUUGUCAUAUGUCUGGGGCUUCGGUUUUGCUCCAUGUAGCGUCUACUGGGUCUAGAAUGUCCCAGGUAGCUCCUUUCCUCCUUUCCUAACAUAUCUUAUUUGUGGGCUUGUGUGGCUGAAACAGCUGGGGGUUGGCCAGCAUUAUUCUCUCUCUCCAUGCAGCCUUUCCAUGUGGCUUUAGCUUCUUACAGCCAGGAUCUCAUAUAAAUUAGGGUCAGGUGUGAAUGAGGCUCCUUGUUUGCAAUCUUCUCUUGAUCAGAAGAGCCACAAACUAGAGACAAGUUAUUUGUGUCUCUUGCCUGUGUUAGGGGUCCCCCACCCAAGGUUGAAUGAUUCGCUACAAAGACUCACAGGACUCAGCAAAUAGUCAUAUUCAUGGCUAAGAUUUACUGCAACAAGAAGACACAGAGCAAAGUGGCCAGGCAUGG